rnacentral:tRNA from 1 species
GUGCCUAUAGCUCAGGUGGAUAGAGCGAGCGAUUCCUAAUCGCUAGGCCACAGGUUCGAAUCCUGUUAGGCACACCA